rnacentral:pre_miRNA from 13 species
GAGCUUUCUGAACCAAUGCCAAUGUCAGAGAGAGGAUUCUGCUGCCGGUCCCACUCCAAAGUUUAUAAAAUGGGUGGUGGGCACAGAAUCCGGACUCUGCCUGUGGCAUACAUCAUCUGGUCUGGA